rnacentral:rRNA from 1 species
UUGCUGGAUGCUGACGAGCGGCGGACGGGUGAGUAAUGCAUAGGAAUCUGCCCGAUAGUGGGGGAUAACCUGGGGAAACCCAGGCUAAUACCGCAUACGUCCUACGGGAGAAAGGGGGCUCCGGCUCCCGCUAUGGGAUGAGCCUAUGUCGGAUUAGCUAGUUGGUGAGGUAACGGCUCACCAAGGCCACGAUCCGUAGCUGGUCUGAGAGGAUGAUCAGCCACAUCGGGACUGAGACACGGCCCGAACUCCUACGGGAGGCAGCAGUGGGGAAUAUUGGACAAUGGGGGCAACCCUGAUCCAGCCAUGCCGCGUGUGUGAAGAAGGCCCUCGGGUUGUAAAGCACUUUCAGCGAGGAAGAACGCCUAGCGGUUAAUACCCGCUAGGAAAGACAUCACUCGCAGAAGAAGCACCGGCUAACUCCGUGCCAGCAGCCGCGGUAAUACGGAGGGUGCAAGCGUUAAUCGGAAUUACUGGGCGUAAAGCGCGCGUAGGUGGCUUGAUAAGCCGGUUGUGAAAGCCCCGGGCUCAACCUGGGAACGGCAUCCGGAACUGUCAAGCUAGAGUGCAGGAGAGGAAGGUAGAAUUCCCGGUGUAGCGGUGAAAUGCGUAGAGAUCGGGAGGAAUACCAGUGGCGAAAGGCGGCCUUCUGGACUGACACUGACACUGAGGUGCGAAAGCGUGGGUAGCAAACAGGAUUAGAUACCCUGGUAGUCCACGCCGUAAACGAUGUCGACCAGCCGGUUGGG